rnacentral:tRNA from 1 species
AGGUUCGUAGUUUAGUGGUAAAACCUCCCACUCAUAAUGGGUAAUCGAGAGUUCGAUUCUCUCCGAUCCUA